UACGUAGGGACCAAGCGUUGUUCGGAUUUACUGGGCGUAAAGGGCGCGUAGGCGGCGUGACAAGUCACUUGUGAAAUCUCCGGGCUUAACUCGGAACGGCCAAGUGAUACUGUCGUGCUAGAGUGCAGAAGGGGCAAUCGGAAUUCUCGGUGUAGCGGUGAAAUGCGUAGAUAUCGAGAGGAACACCUGCGGCGAAGGCGGGUUGCUGGGCUGACACUGACGCUGAUGCGCGAAAGCCAGGGGAGCGAACGGG
rnacentral:rRNA from 1 species